UACGGAGGCUCCAAGCGUUAUCCGGAUUUAUUGGGUUUAAAGGGUGCGUAGGCGGCGUUGUAAGUCAGUGGUGAAAGUUUUCAGCUUAACUGGAAAAUUGCCAUUGAUACUGCAGUGCUUGAGUACAGAUGAGGUGGGCGGAAUGUGUCAUGUAGCGGUGAAAUGCAUAGAUAUGACACAGAACAACAAGGGCGAAGGCAGCGCACUAAGCUGUAACUGACGCUGAGGCACGAAAGCGUGGGGAUCAAACAGG
rnacentral:rRNA from 1 species